rnacentral:rRNA from 1 species
GACGAACGCUGGCGGCGUGCUUAACACAUGCAAGUCGAACGGAAAGGCCCCUUUGGGGGUACUCGAGUGGCGAACGGGUGAGUAACACGUGAGUAACCUGCCCUUGACUUCGGGAUAACUUCAGGAAACUGGGGCUAAUACCGGCUAGGAAUCCUUGCUGCAUGGUGGGGGUUGGAAAGCUUCGGCGGUUUUGGAUGGACUCGCGGCUUAUCAGCUUGUUGGUGGGGUAGUGGCUUACCAAGGCGUUGACGGGUAGCCGGCCUGAGAGGGCGACCGGCCACAUUGGGACUGAGGUACGGCCCAGACGCCUACGGGAGGCAGCAGUGGGGAAUAUUGCACAAUGGGCGGAAGCCUGAUGCAGCAACGCCGCGUGCGGGAUGACGGCCUUCGGGUUGUAAACCGCUUUCAGCAGGGGCGAAGCUUGUGGUGACGGUACCUGCAGAAGAAGCACCGGCUAACUACGUG